CUCGCGAACCGGUGGAAACGAUACCGGGGUGGGAGGCAAGGGGCGUGAUUCGCCCUUAGUCGCUCGCCCGGUGCCGGGGGUGCGAUGGUGGACUACGUGCUGCCUCGUGCCCCAGGCAGCCCAACAACUAUAACCCCGGCGCCGGACGCGCCAAGGAACCCAAACGAACGUGCAUUGCCUCGGCGAGCCGGAGACGGAUCUUGCCCGGGGUCUUCCACGGAAAUGAUGUCCAUAACGACUCUCGGCAACGGAUAUCUCGGCUCUCGCAUCGAUGAAGAACGUAGCGAAAUGCGAUACUUGGUGUGAAUUGCAGAAUCCCGUGAACCAUCGAGUUUUUGAACGCAAGUUGCGCCCGAAGCCACUAGGCCGAGGGCACGUCUGCCUGGGUGUCACGCAUCGUUGCCCCAAACCAUGUUGUCCCUCCGGUCGGUCGGAGCGGGUGAGGUGGUCGGGCGGAAGUUGGCCUCCCGUGAGCCCCUGCCUCGCGGAUGGUUGAAAACAAAGCCUGUGUGGGGCGACCGCCAUGUUCCACGGUGGAUGAGCAGGUAGGUGCCUCGAGACCGACCGUGCGCGGGUUGUCCCUACUUCUAGGCUGCGAGACCCUUGCGAGCGAGGAUGCGCUCCCAACGCGACCCCAGUCAUGCGGGGAUACCCGCUGAGUUUAAGCAUAUCAAUAAGGCGG
rnacentral:rRNA from 1 species